UCGCACGUGUGUUAAGUUAUUUCUUUUCUAAACUGUUUUGCCUAAUAUAACAUUUCUAAAGAUAGGUUUUAUUAUGGUUCAAUGGGAAAACGAGAACAGCGUGAGUGUUGUAAAUGAAAAGAAAGUCGUUAGCGCCGUGGAGUUAAAAGAAGGGACAACAGUUGUCACAUUGAUUGGUACAAACAAGGGUCGAGGGGCCAUUUAUAAAGCUACAAUUUUGAAAGUUUGCGGAUGAUCAAGCUGAAGAUAGCCUCAAGUGAACUCCAUUGUAACAAGUAAGUGACAAAUUUGGAAACUUGAGCACUUGGUAACUACACCUUGGUUUGCAAUUCUGAUGAUUCAAAAGCUUGCUGAGGUAAUUGAAAUGUUAUUACCCAUGCAGGAACCUUUUACAUAACCUGUACAGUCAUGUUAUAAGAAAACUUUAGAAAAAUGCAUUUGUGUUGGUAGAAGUAUUGUAAAUACAGUACCACCUAGUAACAAAAAAUAAUGAUUUCCUGAAACAUGAAGGUUUGGGAGAAGUUAUGGUGGUAAUUGACCCUUUUUUUGCUAGGAUGCAUAGGGUCUCAUGAUCAUAAUGUGUAUCUUUUAGCUUUCAAACUUUCAACUUUGUAUUAAUUGUAACUGUUUACCAUAUCUAUUUCUCUGUACCUUAAGCACCCAAAAGUUGAGGUAGGUGAGGCAAUAACCUGACUUCCUUUGUUUGGAAUUGUGUGAUUAUAUAAUUUUGCUGUGUAAGUUACCACAUUGUAACAUGUAAUAUUAUUAUUUAGAUUGCAUUAAAUACUCUUGCUCAAGCU